rnacentral:rRNA from 1 species
CCUACGGGUGGCAGUAGUGAGGAAUAUUGGUCAAUGGACGAGAGUCUGAACCAGCCAAGUAGCGUGAAGGAUGACUGCCCUAUGGGUUGUAAACUUCUUUUAUAUGGAAAUAAAAUGUUCCACGUGUGGGAUUUUGUAUGUACCAUAUGAAUAAGGAUCGGCUAACUCCGUGCCAGCAGCCGCGGUAAUACGGAGGAUCCGAGCGUUAUCCGGAUUUAGUGGGUUUAAAGGGAGAGUAGGUGGAUUGUUAAGUCAUUUGUGAAAGUUUGCGGCUCAAACGUAAAAUUGCAGUUGAAACUGGCAGUCUUGAGUACAGUAGAGGUGGGCAGAAUUCGUGGUGUAGCGGUGAAAUGCUUAGAUAUCACGAAGAACUCCGAUUGCGAAGGCAGCUCACUGGACUGCAACUGACACUGAGGCUCGAAAGUGUGGGUAGCAAACAGGAUUAGAUACCCUUGUAGUC